rnacentral:rRNA from 1 species
AACGUAGGAGACGAACGUUAUCCGGAGUUACUGGGCGUAAAGGGCGUGUAGGCGGUUUGUUAAGUCUGGCGUGAAAGCUCUCGGCUAAACCGGGAGAGGUCGUUGGAUACUGGCGAACUAGAGGAUGGUAGAGGCGUGUGGAAUUCCGGGUGUAGUGGUGAAAUGCGUAGAGAUCCGGAGGAACACCAGUGGCGAAGGCGACACGCUGGGCCAUACCUGACGCUGAGGCGCGAAAGCCAGGGGAGCGAACGGG